rnacentral:misc_RNA from 1 species
UUUUUAUCCUUGUUGGCUUCAUAGCUUUUGUUGCUAGCUCACUUUUUUUGGUAGUUUGUCUAUUUGCAUGUACUAGGUGGGGUUAUGUGCUAAGUAGUGUGAUUUUGCUAAAUCAUGAGUUUAUUAAUGUAAAAUUACUUUCAUUUUUAAUUCAUUUAUCUUAUUCUGAGAAUUUGUGUUAUUCCCAUGCAAUUUUUAAAAUGAAAAAUACUGUUUAACAUGAAAAAUUUGAACAUAUACAGUUAUUAUGCUUAUUUAAAAAUAAUAGUUCUUUUCAGGCUAUUUUUGUUUCAAAAUAAGUUGUUUAUGGUGACCAAAAAAGUGGUUUAUGUCUUUAUGAUAUUGUUUGUGGGGUUAUCAGUUAAAAUGAAAAUGACCAGUUUUAAUAUAUCAAAUCAUAUUGGCUCAGACCUUCUUCACUUCUUUUUACCCAUUUAUACAGAGUUAUUUGGUCCUUCCACUAGCUUCAUAUUUUAACUAAUGGCUUCAUG